rnacentral:misc_RNA from 1 species
AACGCAUAUUGCGCUCUCUGGUAUUCCGGAGAGCAUGCUUGUUUGAGUAUCAGUAAACACCCCUCAGAACUUUUUUGAUUUUCGAAUCUUGGAGCUCUGGAUUUGAGUGAUCCCAACGCGUUCUUUCGCAGAACAUGGCGGGCCACUUGAAAUGCAGGUGCAGCUGGACUUUCUUCUGAGCUAAAAGCAUAUUUAUUUAGUCCUGUCAACACUUGUGUUGCGGAUUAUUACUUCUGCUGCAGCUAACAUAAAGGUUGAUUGUUCAAAUGCUGACUGAUGCAGGAUUUAUCAGUAGCGCAAGCUAUCUGUUAAACUCGAUCUCAAAUCAAGUAAGACUACCCGCUGAACUUAA